AGAACGUCGUGAGACAGUUCGGUCUCUAUCCGCCGUGGGCGCAGGAGAUUUGAGGAAGGCUGCUUCUAGUACGAGAGGACCGAAGUGGACGAACCUCUAGUGCACCAGUUGUCUUAUCAAAGGCAUCGCUGGGUAGCUAUGUUCGGUCAGGAUAAGCGCUGAAAGCAUAUAAGCGCGAAACCUUUUCCAAGAUUAGAUCUCCCUACCGUAUGGUAAUAAGGCUCGUUGUAGACUACGACGUUGAUAGGCCACAGGUGUAAGUACAGUAAUGUAUUCAGCCGAGUGGUACUAAUAAGCCGAACGGCUUUACCAAAA
rnacentral:rRNA from 1 species